AUCGUCGUCAUAGGAUUGAAGAAUGAGUUUUUUUUUCUCAUAAGAAAAGAAGUUAUCUUUUUACCAUUUUGAAAAUGUAUAGCACAAAAUUUGUACUGUUGAGAUAGAUUGAAAAAAAAAUUGUAAUUUUGGUAAAAAUAUAUUUUCUGGAUGUUUUAAUCAUUAUGCAAUAUUAGUAUACGUGUUAAUUUUAUAAAUCCUUUUUAGGAUUUGGGUAUUUCAUAUAAUAAUAGCAUAUGAUAAACCUUAUCUACGGUCAAACUAAGUUCCCAAUUAUGGUAGAGAACAAAAAACAUUGUUGCCUAAAUUUUACUAAUAAAGUAAUAUAAAUAUGACUAUAGUCUAACCUAUGUUUGUGUGCUAGAUAACAUUUAUUCUGAAUAAAAGUUGUCCACCGCCAUUAGACUUUAUCCUUAAUGUUAUCAGCAAUCAACAAGUGUCUUUCUGGAAUAAUACCACCGCCUACUUUUUAUGUUACAAUAGAUAGAUGUCCUUUUCUUUAUCAUCAAAUAUCUUUUACGUAGGCAGGCAAACAUAAUUGUUGGUCUCUCUCUUUUCGUUUUAAGAAUACCAAUGCAGCAACACUAGUUCAUGUUCUCGUCUUCUCCAAGAAAUUCAUUCAAGUCCCUCAAAGUAAAUUUUAAUUCUAAGUUGAAACAUGGCUAUUCCUCCAUCAAUUUCAUAAUUAUAACGUCAGUUUCUUCCGGACCCUAGCAAGUCAGAGAGUUACUUCAUAGUGAGGGUAAGGUGGAAGGAAGAUUAAUUCCUGGCAUACAAGAUUUUGGGCGAAACGGGAAUUGAAUUUGGAAAGGCGUAAAGAGCGUAUAAGGUACAAACGACAGAUUUGCUGAUCCGCCUGCUUAGGACUAUAUUCUGCUAUCUUGGAAUGCUCUAUUGUUCAAAGCAUACGUUUUGGUACAGUCUUUUGCCAUUGUACAUAUGCAUGCUAUUCAGGGGUAUGACGGGCCCCUGUCCCGUCUUAUGAUUCUAAUGUGUUCUGUAGAGGUCUGUAGACAUACAUGUGGGUUCUGUAUAUGUUUUGGGUUGAUAUGAUCUGUGAUAGCCUUAUCGGCUUCCACGUGCUAUAUCUGUUCAUCUAUGAUAACUAGUAACGCCAACUGACUUUUAUAUUGAUACAUUCUGCUAAUAUGAUGAUUUGGGUUAUUGGGUACGUAUGGGUGUCCAGCACGGACACUAGUCGCGGCCUACGGGGUUGGGUCGUGACAAAAGUGGUAUCAGAGCGGUUUGUCCUCGGAAUGUCUACAGGCCGUGUCUAGUAGAGUCUUGUUUAUCGGUGUGUUGUGCACCACAUCUAUAAACAGGAGGCUACAGGACAUUUAGGGUGUUACCUUUCUUUGGAUCUUAGAUCGUGCGAUAGAGCCCAGCCAUAAGAAAUGAAAUUCCUUUCUACUAACCUUUAAUUUCAGCUGGAGAACGGUAUCGACAUAAGAGAGUGGCUGAUUAUAUUGGAAGCUACACAGUACACAUGUAAGCAAUGGUAUGAAAGAUGUAUGUCGGGUAAGGUAUUUUGAAGUACGAUUGAAACAUAAAUUUGAAAAUUGAAAGGGAAAGUAAACAGGAAAGUUUAACAGGUGCAGUUUGAGUUGAACAUGUGAGGUAAGUCUCGACAUCUUUAUACUUUUAUUUGAAAUUGUUAGCCCUGUGUGUGGCUAUGAUGCGAUAUGAUAUGAUAUAUAUAUAUAUAUAUAUAUAUAUACGUAUGUGUGUUGGCCCUGUGAGGCGCGAUUGGUAUUUCCUGUGUGCAGGUUUUGGGAUAGUAAGAAAUACAGAGGAACCUCUGCCCAAAUAUUUCCAGAAAUAUAAAAAGGAGAACGAGAUAUGAGUUCUUAAUAUGCCUUGAAAGUUGAUACCGAUAGGGUAAAUCUAUUAUGUUGGAUUAAAGUUUAAGAAAUUUCCUCCAUGUCAUUCGUAAGAAGCAUCAUCCUUAUUUGGGAAAUCUUAUUUCGAGAAAGCAUAUAUGAGCAGCAAAUUCGUAAUUCAUUUAAAUGGACCAGAAUACGUUCCAACCACAUUUUGCUUUAGAAAAGCCUAUGUUGAAGGGCAAAAAUGUCUGGCGAUUAAGUUUCACCUUAUUGGAAGGAUACAAAGCGUAUGACAAGAAGUUGGGAAUUAAAUGAUUGUCUCACGGCUCAAAAAUAAAUAUGGAGGUAAACUAUGUGAAUCAAGCACUAAGAAGAUCUAUGGUGCUUGUCGGACUUUAGUUUUCUUCUGCUGGUGGUUGGAGAAUGCCUCAUAGUAACAUUUUAUCAGUUCUCAUCGACUAAUUAGAGAUGGAAUUUGUGGAAGAAAAACUUAAACUUGUGGGCUGUCUAGGAUCGUAUAUUUCAUGUGUUGUUGGUGAAAUACUAAAGAUGAUCUAGGAAAAGGUGGCAACUAGUAACAGAACAUUUUAUUGAGGUAUCGAGUGAAACGAUAAGCAGGGAUAAAUUACGACGAGUUACAAUUCAAAAGAGUAACAAUAUGAUUGAGAUAAAAGUAAAGAAGAGGAAGAGUUAUACCAAAUCUUGAAGGUGUUGAUAAGACAGCUUGUGAGAUAUUAAGGAUAGGAUUGAUCAGAAAGGGCGAAGGGUCAAGCACACCUAGUCCGCAGAGUGCAAUUAAAACAUAGAAGAAUCAUGAUUAAGAUUUAGAAGUAUUACAUUAUAGGAUAUAUUACGAACAGGAUGUACUGUGAACACCAUAAGGAUUGCUAUAGAAACGAGUAAAACCUAGCAAGAAAGUGACUAAAGGAGAUGGUGUAACUAGUGUGAAAUGGUAAAGCAGAUAUAGAACGAAUAAGGAAGAACUUACAAGGUCCUACAGGAAAAGUUCAGAAUAAAAGUCAAGUGGUAACAAAAGUGAAAGCGCGCACAGGAAGAGAAGGGGUUAAUAGAAGGAAGAAGAUAAGAAGAAAGCGAGCGAGAUUACAGUGUAGCAAUGUGUUAUGACGUGUAUAGCUGAGAAAAUGAGUUAUACAAGCGACAGAAUUGUGAAAGACCGAACCAAAGGAAGAUGAGCAACAAGACAGAACAAAUACCAGAAAUGACUGGUGUGAUAGGAAUAAAAAAAAGAGAUAAACAGAAUAUGAUUUGAAAAUGAGAAAGGGCUUGUGUAGAAGUUGUGUUUUCUGAAAGAUACGGGAAUAGCAUGAGAUUCCUCGUGCAGAAAAUAAAAGAUGGACGUAGACUAGAGAAAUGAGAGGAAUACUAAAGGAAUUACCCAAGACAUACGUAAUUAAUUGAGUAUGAGUAUAGAAUAAAAGGGAAACAUAUAGUUAUGGACUUAAAGAUGUAGUGCGACGAAAUGAUGAUAAGACAAGACCACUAUUAAGACAAAUUCAACAUGAUUCGAGUAAGUUAGAAGUUAGCAUUUGAUAUACAACAAGAGAGAAAGAGUAUGAGGCAUAAAAGAGUACUGCGUAUAUGUGACUUGACCUCGGGAAUAGUGAAAUCUUUAAAGGACAGUGAUUGUGGGUUUGCGAAACAACUGACGUAUUGUGAAUUUAUUAGAAGAAAGAGAUGAUAUUCGUUGGGAUAAAGAUAGUGUUAUAAGAAAAUCUGGGACAUUUAUCAUUAGAAUAUAAGUGCUACCUAAUGGAGAAUUUGAAAUGACUAUAAGUACUAGCUAAUUACUGAUCGGAAUAAAUGGAAUGUGGCCUCGGAUAAAUUGCUACAUUAAUUACAAUGCUUGAGUACCAACCAUCAGAUAAGAUUUUGUACUAUAUAAUCGAGAGUUCUCAUCGCCUCGUGAUUUUGUUAAGGUCUCGUUCGAAGAUAAUCAAGUUAUAGAUUAUAAAGAAAAGGCAUGGAUAUGAUAUUAAGUUAAGCAAAGAGAGGCACAACAUGAACGAGUACGGGUGCAUGACCAACAUUCGAGGACGAAUGUUCCAAAGGGGAGAGUGAUGUUACAUCCCGUAAUUUCGUACGUGGAGUAGCAUCGGAAGAUCGUCGUCAUAGGAUUGAAGAAUGAGUUUUUUUUUCUCAUAAGAAAAGAAGUUAUCUUUUUACCAUUUUGAAAAUGUAUAGCACAAAAUUUGUACUGUUGAGAUAGAUUGAAAAAAAAAUUGUAAUUUUGGUAAAAAUAUAUUUUCUGGAUGUUUUAAUCAUUAUGCAAUAUUAGUAUACGUGUUAAUUUUAUAAAUCCUUUUUAGGAUUUGGGUAUUUCAUAUAAUAAUAGCAUAUGAUAAACCUUAUCUACGGUCAAACUAAGUUCCCAAUUAUGGUAGAGAACAAAAAACAUUGUUGCCUAAAUUUUACUAAUAAAGUAAUAUAAAUAUGACUAUAGUCUAACCUAUGUUUGUGUGCUAGAUAACAUUUAUUCUGAAUAAAAGUUGUCCACCGCCAUUAGACUUUAUCCUUAAUGUUAUCAGCAAUCAACAAGUGUCUUUCUGGAAUAAUACCACCGCCUACUUUUUAUGUUACAAUAGAUAGAUGUCCUUUUCUUUAUCAUCAAAUAUCUUUUACGUAGGCAGGCAAACAUAAUUGUUGGUCUCUCUCUUUUCGUUUUAAGAAUACCAAUGCAGCAACACUAGUUCAUGUUCUCGUCUUCUCCAAGAAAUUCAUUCAAGUCCCUCAAAGUAAAUUUUAAUUCUAAGUUGAAACAUGGCUAUUCCUCCAUCAAUUUCAUAAUUAUAACGUCAGUUUCUUCCGGACCCUAGCAAGUCAGAGAGUUACUUCAUAGUGAGGGUAAGGUGGAAGGAAGAUUAAUUCCUGGCAUACAAGAUUUUGGGCGAAACGGGAAUUGAAUUUGGAAAGGCGUAAAGAGCGUAUAAGGUACAAACGACAGAUUUGCUGAUCCGCCUGCUUAGGACUAUAUUCUGCUAUCUUGGAAUGCUCUAUUGUUCAAAGCAUACGUUUUGGUACAGUCUUUUGCCAUUGUACAUAUGCAUGCUAUUCAGGGGUAUGACGGGCCCCUGUCCCGUCUUAUGAUUCUAAUGUGUUCUGUAGAGGUCUGUAGACAUACAUGUGGGUUCUGUAUAUGUUUUGGGUUGAUAUGAUCUGUGAUAGCCUUAUCGGCUUCCACGUGCUAUAUCUGUUCAUCUAUGAUAACUAGUAACGCCAACUGACUUUUAUAUUGAUACAUUCUGCUAA